rnacentral:rRNA from 1 species
UGGGGAAUAUUCCACAAUGGGCGCAAGCCUGAUGCAGCCAUGCCGCGUGUAUGAAGAAGGCCUUCGGGUUGUAAAGUACUUUCAGCGGGGAGGAAGGGAGUAAAGUUAAUACCUUUGCUCAUUGACGUUACCCGCAGAAGAAGCACCGGCUAACUCCGUGCCAGCAGCCGCGGUAAUACGGAGGGUGCAAGCGUUAAUCGGAAUUACUGGGCGUAAGGCGCACGCAGGCGGUUUGUUAAGUCAGGUGUGAAAUCCCCGGGCUCAACCUGGGAACUGAAUCUGAUACUGGCAAGCUUGAGUCUCGUAGAGGGGGGUAGAAUUCCAGGUGUAGCGGUGAAAUGCGUAGAGAUCUGGAGGAAUACCGGUGGCGAAGGCGGCCCCCUGGACGAAGACUGACGCUCAGGUGCGAAAGCGUGGGGAGCAAACAGG